GUAGUCAUAUGCUUGUCUCAAAGAUUAAGCCAUGCAUGUCUAAGUAUAAGCAAUCUAUACAGUGAAACUGCGAAUGGCUCAUUAAAUCAGUUAUCGUUUAUUUGAUAGUACCUUACUACUUGGAUAACCGUGGUAAUUCUAGAGCUAAUACAUGCUAAAAACCCCGACUUCUGGAAGGGGUGUAUUUAUUAGAUAAAAAACCAAUGCCUUCGGGCUCCUUGGUGAUUCAUGAUAACUUUACGAAUCGCAUGGCCUUGUGCCGGCGAUGGUUCAUUCAAAUUUCUGCCCUAUCAACUUUCGAUGGUAGGAUAGUGGCCUACCAUGGUUUCAACGGGUAACGGGGAAU
rnacentral:rRNA from 1 species